rnacentral:rRNA from 1 species
UACGGGGGGAGCAAGCGUUGUUCGGAUUUACUGGGCGUAAAGGGCGCGUAGGCGGCGGGGUAAGUCGGGUGUGAAAUCUCAGGGCUCAACCCUGAAACUGCACUUGAUACUGCUCUGCUUGAGGACUGGAGAGGAGACUGGAAUUCACGGUGUAGCAGUGAAAUGCGUAGAUAUCGUGAGGAAGACCAGUGGCGAAGGCGGGUCUCUGGACAGUUCCUGACGCUGAGGCGCGAAGGCCAGGGGAGCAAACGGG